rnacentral:rRNA from 1 species
AACAAGGCGGUAUUGCAUGGCUGAGGGCGAUGCCCGGCAACGGGUCGAACCAAGUCGCAUGGUCCUCUGUGGUGGGCGAGCGGUGUGCUACACGUCGCGUCAGCUCGACCGAACUUCGCGCUGAAAGGCGGGAACGCAGAGGGAAUCGCUCGUAAUCUUCGACAGCACGCGAAGGUGAACUUUAGCCGAGGUCGAGUGCACACACUGCCCGUCACAUCCAGGAAGAAGCACAAGCCUUAAGGUUCCUGCGGCUUUGAAUGCCGGGGGAGUCGACCGCGGCGUUUCGACAGGGAUGAAGUCGUAACAAGGUUUGUGCAGGGGAACCUGCGCAAGAAGAUGC